rnacentral:rRNA from 1 species
GACGAACGCUGGCGGCGUGCUUAACACAUGCAAGUCGAACGGAAAGGCCCUGCUUUUGUGGGGUGCUCGAGUGGCGAACGGGUGAGUAACACGUGAGUAACCUGCCCUUGACUUUGGGAUAACUUCAGGAAACUGGGGCUAAUACCGGAUAGGAGCUCCUGCUGCAUGGUGGGGGUUGGAAAGUUUCGGCGGUUGGGGAUGGACUCGCGGCUUAUCAGCUUGUAGGUGGGGUAGUGGCUUACCAAGGCUUUGACGGGUAGCCGGCCUGAGAGGGUGACCGGCCACAUUGGGACUGAGAUACGGCCCAGACUCCUACGGGAGGCAGCAGUGGGGAAUAUUGCACAAUGGGCGGAAGCCUGAUGCAGCAACGCCGCGUGCGGGAUGACGGCUUUCGGGUUGUAAACCGCUUUCGCCUGUGACGAAGCGUGAGUGACGGUAAUGGGUAAAGAAGCACCGGCUAACUACGUG